rnacentral:rRNA from 1 species
CAGUAGCCGCGGGAAUACGUAGGUGGCAAGCGUUGUCCGGAUUUAUUGGGCGUAAAGCGAGCGCAGGCGGUCAAUUAAGUCUGAUGUGAAAGCCCCCGGUUCAACCGGGGAGGGUCAUUGGAAACUGGUUGACUUGAGUGCAGAAGAGGAGAGUGGAAUUCCAUGUGUAGCGGUGAAAUGCGUAGAUAUAUGGAGGAACACCAGUGGCGAAGGCGACUCUCUGGUCUGUAACUGACGCUGAGGCUCGAAAGCGUGGGUAGCAAACAGGAUUAGAUACCCCUGUAGUCCCUGUCUCUUAUAC